UACGUAGGGUGCAAGCGUUGUCCGGAAUUAUUGGGCGUAAAGAGCUCGUAGGCGGUCUGUCGCGUCGGAUGUGAAAACCCAGGGCUCAACCCUGGGCCUGCAUUCGAUACGGGCAGACUAGAGUUCGGUAGGGGAGACUGGAAUUCCUGGUGUAGCGGUGAAAUGCGCAGAUAUCAGGAGGAACACCGGUGGCGAAGGCGGGUCUCUGGGCCGUAACUGACGCUGAGGAGCGAAAGCAUGGGGAGCGAACAGG
rnacentral:rRNA from 1 species